rnacentral:hammerhead_ribozyme from 1 species
AUCCAACUGACGAUUCCCAAAUAAGACGAAAUGCGAAUCCUUACUGGAU